rnacentral:rRNA from 1 species
AACGAACGCUGGCGGCAGGCCUCAAACAUGCAAGUCUAGGGGGCGCAGCAAUGCGUCACCGGCGGACGGGUGCGUAACACGUGGGAAUGUACCUACUGGUUCGGAACAACUGCGGGAAACUGCAGCUAAUACCGAAUAAGCCCUUCGGGGAAAGAUUUAUCGCCAGUAGAUCAGCCCGCGUUCGAUUAGCUAGUUGGUGAGGUAAUGGCUCACCAAGGCUCCGAUCGAUAGCUGUUCUGAGAGGAAGAUCAGCCACACUGGGACUGAGAC